rnacentral:rRNA from 1 species
ACUCCUACGGGAGGCAGCAGUGGGGAAUAUUGGACAAUGGGGGAAACCCUGAUCCAGCGAUGCCGCGUGUGUGAAGAAGGCCUGAGGGUUGUAAAGCACUUUAGUUGGGGAGGAAGUUGAGUAGUUUAAGAGAUAACUUAAUUGACGUUACCCAAAGAAUAAGCACCGGCUAACUCCGUGCCAGCAGCCGCGGUAAUACGGAGGGUGCAAGCGUUAAUCGGAAUUACUGGGCGUAAAGCGCGCGUAGGCGGUAAGUUAAGUUGGAUGUGAAAGUCCCGGGCUCAACCUGGGAAGGCCAUUCGAUACUGGCUAACUAGAAUACAGUAGAGGUAAGUGGAAUUUCCAGUGUAGCGGUGAAAUGCGUAGAGAUUGGAAGGAACACCAGUGGCGAAGGCGGCUUACUGGACUGAUAUUGACGCUGAGGUGCGAAGGCGUGGGUAGCGAACAGGAUUAGAUACCCUGGUAGGCUCUG